GAUUAACGCUAGCGGCAGGCAUAAUACAUGCAAGUUGAACGGCAGCACAGGUAGCAAUACUGGGUGGCGAGUGGCUCACGGGUGCGUAACACGUAUGCAACCUACCCUAUACAGGCGAAUAACCUUUAGAAAUGAGGGCUAAUACGCCGUAGUAUUACAGAUGGGCAUCUAUUUGUAAUUAAAGAUUUAUCGUUAUAGGAUGGGCAUGCGUCCCAUUAGUUAGUUGGUAAGGUAACGGCUUACCAAGACGAUGAUGGGUAGGGGAUCUGAGAGGACUUACCCCCACACUGGUACUGGGACACGGACCAGGCUACUACGGGAGGCAGCAGUAAGGAAUAGUGGGCAAUGGCCGCGAGGAUGACCCAGCCAUGCCGCGUGCAGGAAGACGGCCUUAUGGGUUGUAAACUGCUUUUAUACGGGAAUAAUAGAGUGUACGCGUACAUUUAUGAAAGUAUCGUAUGAAUAAGCAUCGGCUAACUCCGUG
rnacentral:rRNA from 1 species